GCCUGGCUGGCUCAGUGGGAAGAGCUUGGGACUCUUGAUCUCAGGAUUGUGAGUUCUAGUCCCACAUUGGGUG
rfam:Ailuropoda melanoleuca scaffold192_94, whole genome shotgun sequence.